rnacentral:rRNA from 1 species
UACCAGCACCCCGAGUGGUCGGGACGUUUAUUGGGCCUAAAGCAUCCGUAGCCGGUUCUACGAGUCUUCCGUUAAAUCCAACUGCUUAACAGGUGGGCUGCGGAAGAUACUAUAGAGCUAGGAGGCGGGAGAGGCAAGCGGUACUCGAUGGGUAGGGGUAAAAUCCGUUGAUCCAUUGAAGACCACCAGUGGCGAAGGCGGCUUGCCAGAACGCGCUCGACGGUGAGGGAUGAAAGCUGGGGGAGCAGACCGG